UACGGGAAACUGUAGCUAAUACCGCGUAGWAUCGAGAGAUGAAAGUGUGGGACCUUCGGGCCACAUGCCRUAGGAUGAGCCCAAGUGGGAUUAGGUAGUUGGUGAGGUAAAGGCUCACCAAGCCGACGAUCUCUAGCUGGUCUGAGAGGAUGACCAGCCACACUGGGACUGAGACACGGCCCAGACUCCUACGGGAGGCAGCAGUGGGGAAUAUUGCGCAAUGGGGGCAACCCUGACGCAGCCAUGCCGCGUGAAUGAAGAAGGCCUUCGGGUUGUAAAGUUCUUUCGGUAGCGARGAAGGCAUUUAGUUUAAUAGACUARGUGAUUGACGUUAACUACAGAAGAAGCACCGGCUAACUCCGUGCCAGCAGCCGCGGUAAUACGGAGGGUGCGAGCGUUAAUCGGAAUAACUGGGCGUAAAGGGCACGCAGGCGGUGACUUAAGUGAGGUGUGAAAGCCCCGGGCUUAACCUGGGAAUUGCAUUUCAUACUGGGUCGCUAGAGUACUUUAGGGAGGGGUAGAAUUCCACGUGUAGCGGUGAAAUGCRUAGAGAUGUGGAGGAAUACCGAAGGCGAAGGCAGCCCCUUGGGAAUGUACUGACGCUCAUGUGCGAAAGC
rnacentral:rRNA from 1 species